rnacentral:rRNA from 1 species
CCUACGGGUGGCAGCAGUGGGGAAUAUUGGACAAUGGGCGAAAGCCUGAUCCAGCCAUGCCGCGUGUGUGAAGAAGGCCUUCGGGUUGUAAAGCACUUUCAGUGGGGAAGAAAGCCUUGGGGCUAAUACCCUCGAGGAAGGACAUCACCCACAGAAGAAGCACCGGCUAACUCCGUGCCAGCAGCCGCGGUAAUACGGAGGGUGCGAGCGUUAAUCGGAAUUACUGGGCGUAAAGCGCGCGUAGGCGGUCUGAUAAGCCGGUUGUGAAAGCCCCGGGCUCAACCUGGGAACGGCAUCCGGAACUGUCAGGCUAGAGGGGAGGUGAGGAAUGUAGAAGUCCCGGGGGAGCGGUGAAAUGCGUAGGGAUCGGGAGGGAUACCAGUUGCGAAGGGGGGCUUCUGGACUGACACUGACGCUGAGGUGCGAAAGCGGUGGUAGCAAACAGGAUUAGAUACCCUGGUAGUC